rnacentral:rRNA from 1 species
GAUCUCGGUUCAGGAUGAACGCUGGCGGCGUGCCUAACACAUGCAAGUCGAGCGAUUCUCUUCGGAGAAGAGCGGCGGACGGGUGAGUAACGCGUGGGUAACCUGCCUCAUACACAUGGAUAACAUACCGAAAGGUAUGCUAAUACAGGAUAAUAUAAGAGAUUCACAUGGAUUUCUUAUCAAAGCUCCGGCGGUAUGAGAUGGACCCGCGUCUGAUUAGCUAGUUGGUAAGGUAACGGCUUACCAAGGCGACGAUCAGUAGCCGACCUGAGAGGGUGAUCGGCCACAUUGGAACUGAGACACGGUCCAAACUCCUACGGGAGGCAGCAGUGGGGAAUAUUGCACAAUGGGCGAAAGCCUGAUGCAGCAACGCCGCGUGAGUGAUGAAGGCCUUCGGGUCGUAAAACUCUGUCCUCAAGGAAGAUAAUGACGGUACUUGAGGAGGAAGCCCCGGCUAACUACGUGCCAGCCGCGGC